rnacentral:lncRNA from 1 species
CAGCCAGACACGAUCAGAAUUCAAAUUCCAAAUUACACGGAAUCCGCAUACAAAAUGAUUUAAAUAAUUAAGGAAAUAAUAAAACUAUCCCCCGUGACAAACAGAAACUCUGUCACAAACCAUCGACAGCUGCCGAACUCUUCCUUCGUAUCAUCGGCAGACUCCCUUGCCAUAUUCAUCGGCAGACUUUCUCAUCACAGCAAUCGGCACAGACACAUCACCACCUGUAGACUUAGUCACGUUCAACUUCUCCUUCAUCGGCAACCACCCUCAUCGGCAACUCAUCCUGUAAACAAACACUGCCGUGUUAUCCUGCCAACCUGGACACGUGCCCAGAAACGGUGUCAACACUCUCAUUCAACCUACUGGCCAAAUCAAAAAACAAAGGUGAAACCAUCAUCACUAGAGGUAUGCAACCAUCAAGACCUCCAUCUCUCAAGAUGGAGAGAUACACUAGAGUAGAAGAAGAAGUCCUGUCAGUAAACUUUAAAUUUUACAUUAUCGCC